rnacentral:tRNA from 1 species
GGAGGGGUGGCAGAGUGGUUUAAUGCACCGGUCUUGAAAACCGGCGUGGGCUUAUCCCCACCCAGGGUUCAAAUCCCUGCUCCUCCGCCA